rnacentral:rRNA from 1 species
GGGUUGUGAGGUUAAGCGACUAAGCGUACACGGUGGAUGCCCUGGCAGUCAGAGGCGAUGAAGGACGUGCUAAUCUGCGAUAAGCGUCGGUAAGGUGAUAUGAACCGUUAUAACCGGCGAUUUCCGAAUGGGGAAACCCAGUGUGUUUCGACACACUAUCAUUAACUGAAUCCAUAGGUUAAUGAGGCGAACCGGGGGAACUGAAACAUCUAAGUACCCCGAGGAAAAGAAAUCAACCGAGAUUCCCCCAGUAGCGGCGAGCGAACGGGGAGCAGCCCAGAGCCUGAAUCAGUGUGUGUGUUAGUGGAAGCGUCUGGAAAGGCGCGCGAUACAGGGUGACAGCCCCGUACACAAAAAUGCACAUGCUGUGAGCUCGAUGAGUAGGGCGGGACACGUGGUAUCCUGUCUGAAUAUGGGGGGACCAUCCUCCAAGGCUAAAUACUCCUGACUGACCGAUAGUGAACCAGUACCGUGAGGGAAAGGCGAAAAGAACCCCGGCGAGGGGAGUGAAAAAGAACCUGAAACCGUGUACGUACAAGCAGUGGGAGCACGCUUAGGCGUGUGACUGCGUACCUUUUGUAUAAUGGGUCAGCGACUUAUAUUCUGUAGCAAGGUUAACCGAAUAGGGGAGCCGAAGGGAAACCGAGUCUUAACUGGGCGUUAAGUUGCAGGGUAUAGACCCGAAACCCGGUGAUCUAGCCAUGGGCAGGUUGAAGGUUGGGUAACACUAACUGGAGGACCGAACCGACUAAUGUUGAAAAAUUAGCGGAUGACUUGUGGCUGGGGGUGAAAGGCCAAUCAAACCGGGAGAUAGCUGGUUCUCCCCGAAAGCUAUUUAGGUAGCGCCUCGUGAAUUCAUCUCCGGGGGUAGAGCACUGUUUCGGCAAGGGGGUCAUCCCGACUUACCAACCCGAUGCAAACUGCGAAUACCGGAGAAUGUUAUCACGGGAGACACACGGCGGGUGCUAACGUCCGUCGUGAAGAGGGAAACAACCCAGACCGCCAGCUAAGGUCCCAAAGUCAUGGUUAAGUGGGAAACGAUGUGGGAAGGCCCAGACAGCCAGGAUGUUGGCUUAGAAGCAGCCAUCAUUUAAAGAAAGCGUAAUAGCUCACUGGUCGAGUCGGCCUGCGCGGAAGAUGUAACGGGGCUAAACCAUGCACCGAAGCUGCGGCAGCGACACUAUGUGUUGUUGGGUAGGGGAGCGUUCUGUAAGCCUGUGAAGGUGUACUGUGAGGUAUGCUGGAGGUAUCAGAAGUGCGAAUGCUGACAUAAGUAACGAUAAAGCGGGUGAAAAGCCCGCUCGCCGGAAGACCAAGGGUUCCUGUCCAACGUUAAUCGGGGCAGGGUGAGUCGACCCCUAAGGCGAGGCCGAAAGGCGUAGUCGAUGGGAAACAGGUUAAUAUUCCUGUACUUGGUGUUACUGCGAAGGGGGGACGGAGAAGGCUAUGUUGGCCGGGCGACGGUUGUCCCGGUUUAAGCGUGUAGGCUGGUUUUCCAGGCAAAUCCGGAAAAUCAAGGCUGAGGCGUGAUGACGAGGCACUACGGUGCUGAAGCAACAAAUGCCCUGCUUCCAGGAAAAGCCUCUAAGCAUCAGGUAACAUCAAAUCGUACCCCAAACCGACACAGGUGGUCAGGUAGAGAAUACCAAGGCGCUUGAGAGAACUCGGGUGAAGGAACUAGGCAAAAUGGUGCCGUAACUUCGGGAGAAGGCACGCUGAUAUGUAGGUGAAGUCCCUCGCGGAUGGAGCUGAAAUCAGUCGAAGAUACCAGCUGGCUGCAACUGUUUAUUAAAAACACAGCACUGUGCAAACACGAAAGUGGACGUAUACGGUGUGACGCCUGCCCGGUGCCGGAAGGUUAAUUGAUGGGGUUAGCCGCAAGGCGAAGCUCUUGAUCGAAGCCCCGGUAAACGGCGGCCGUAACUAUAACGGUCCUAAGGUAGCGAAAUUCCUUGUCGGGUAAGUUCCGACCUGCACGAAUGGCGUAAUGAUGGCCAGGCUGUCUCCACCCGAGACUCAGUGAAAUUGAACUCGCUGUGAAGAUGCAGUGUACCCGCGGCAAGACGGAAAGACCCCGUGAACCUUUACUAUAGCUUGACACUGAACAUUGAGCCUUGAUGUGUAGGAUAGGUGGGAGGCUUGGAAGUGUGGACGCCAGUCUGCAUGGAGCCGACCUUGAAAUACCACCCUUUAAUGUUUGAUGUUCUAACGUUGACCCGUAAUCCGGGUUGCGGACAGUGUCUGGUGGGUAGUUUGACUGGGGCGGUCUCCUCCUAAAGAGUAACGGAGGAGCACGAAGGUUGGCUAAUCCUGGUCGGACAUCAGGAGGUUAGUGCAAUGGCAUAAGCCAGCUUGACUGCGAGCGUGACGGCGCGAGCAGGUGCGAAAGCAGGUCAUAGUGAUCCGGUGGUUCUGAAUGGAAGGGCCAUCGCUCAACGGAUAAAAGGUACUCCGGGGAUAACAGGCUGAUACCGCCCAAGAGUUCAUAUCGACGGCGGUGUUUGGCACCUCGAUGUCGGCUCAUCACAUCCUGGGGCUGAAGUAGGUCCCAAGGGUAUGGCUGUUCGCCAUUUAAAGUGGUACGCGAGCUGGGUUUAGAACGUCGUGAGACAGUUCGGUCCCUAUCUGCCGUGGGCGCUGGAGAACUGAGGGGGGCUGCUCCUAGUACGAGAGGACCGGAGUGGACGCAUCACUGGUGUUCGGGUUGUCAUGCCAAUGGCACUGCCCGGUAGCUAAAUGCGGAAGAGAUAAGUGCUGAAAGCAUCUAAGCACGAAACUUGCCCCGAGAUGAGUUCUCCCUGAC